UCACUUGCAAGAUGAUGUGCGCGGUCU
rnacentral:sRNA from 1 species